ensembl:lncRNA
UAUACAGUUCUGUCUUGUACUCAGAUGCCCAUACCAAAGCAAUUACUGUAUGGGAGAUGCCGACUGGCUGGAAGAACCUGCUCAUUCUGGAUCUGUAAUGGAGUCUGCGAGGAGCUCAGCUUCUUGGUGUGGAAGAAGGCAGUGGUCUGAUCUUCAGCAUCCUCCUGUCCUGGUAGAUUAUGUCAUGAACAGCUCUCCUUGGGGUCGUUUGUGAAGAGAUAUCUUGGAGGAUAGUAUCAUCACCGGUUGGGGACCAGCGUGGCUGCCUAAAUUGUCCAUCCUAGUGUUUGUCAAGAAAGGAUGGAGGACCAGGGAAAUGUGGUCAAAUGGGGAUGAGAACUGAGGAGGCGGCCAAAUGCACCCCAAAAGCAAAAGAGGGUGAGGGAAGAUGACACUUCUCCAGAUGCCUCCAGGAGCCAAACCACAGCAGCUCCUUCCUAGUUGCCACCAACCUCAUGGAUGUCCAACCUUACAUGUGGAUGGAGCAAUGGAUGAGGUGCUGGAUGCUCAGCGCUUUUCCCUUUCCUAUGGCUGAAUGUCGGCUGAUGCUGUUUGCUAAACAAGAGUGCCGGUGGCAGAGGAAUUAGAAGAAAUCCCUUCUUAAUUGGAAACAGUGAGUUUGUGUAUUUUUUCAGUUGUCUAUUUUGGGCCUUGUAAAAUUAAAGUUAUUAACUGUAAUGCAGCGGUUUCCAGAUUCCCACAGCCCUUUACAAUAGUGGGGAAAUUCAUCCCAGGUCACUGGGAGCCUUUAAUGAAUACAUUAAGACUUAUUAUUAAAAUAAAGUGCUUGCAGCUUUAUGGGAGACAUCUGGCGAGGAUGUGCGUCUCCUGCAGGCAGCGCAGCUCUGGGUGUCUCCUCCCACUGUGCCCCAUGGUGCUGUGGGCUCACUGCCACUGUGCCCACAUGUGGGUUGGGGACAACGAGGGGACCUCAGGAGGUGCUGGAAAGCAUCAGGGCUGGGUCAUGGAAUCAUUUAGGUUGUAAAAAGACCACUGAGAUCACUUAGUCCAACCAUCAACCCAUCACAAUCAUGCCCACUAGCUGUGUCCCUUAGGUCCUGUGCCUGCAGGAUGCUCUGCACAGGGGAUGCUGUUGACCAACAUCUUCAUGGGGUAGGCUUGGGCUGAGUGCAGGAGCUGCCCUGGGUGCAGGCAGGUGGGUGUUCAGCCAGAUGUUGGCCCAGCAGUGCUGAGGUUUUGUGGAGCUCGGGGCAGCAGGGACCCUGCAGUCCCAGUGUGCCCAUAGGACAGGCUCAGCUUGUGUCUCUAUGAGCAGCGUGGUUGGCAGCAGCAGGCAGUUUUAUCACUGCUUUAUCUCUAUCCAGGCUUGAUCUGUGCAGAAAGCAGAGCCACGUGGCGGUAAUUGCAUUAGGAAAACAAACUAAUCUCCGAAGGGACAGAGAACAGCUGUUGGGCUAUUGGGGGAGAUGGAAGUGGCCUGCCAGCCUGCAGAGCUGGGGGAAUAAAGUGGGUUUUGGGCACAAGAUUGAUAGAAUGGGGGAGAGCCAGGCCUCUCAUGUCUGAGUUUCUUUGGUUGUGUUGAUGUGGGGCACGAAGCACCAGGAGGUGGACACCCUGAAAUGGGGACUGCCAAGCCCUGGCUGUGAGCACCUUUGGCCAAUGGAAAUGAGAAAGUUGCACCAGUCAGGAAGGCUGAAUCCAGAGCUGAGUGCCUGGCCAGGUCCCAAAGCAAACAUCACUGUUGUUUCUGGAUUAUGUAGUUUAACAGAAAAGAAAAUCCUAUCGCUAAUACUACAAGAUACACGCCUGUGUCCUGUAUUCACUCUGUCCUAUGAACUUUAUUAAGGCUCGUGUAGAGAGGGAUUAUAAGAAAGAAAUAAGGCCAGAAUUAUGCAGCUCCCAAAAGUUUUCCUAAAAAUAAAUUUUUGCUAUGUUCUUCCACAGCAGUUAAUUAUGGCUUCUAUUAAAUGCUGACAGGCAC